GGUUUUUGCUGGAGGGGAGUUUUCAUCCCCUGAAGUGGCUCAGUGGGGGGUGGAGCAGGCCAGGCUCGACUUUCCCACCGCCGUGCUUCCCAGCAGCACCACCUUGUAGAUGUAGGUGGGACAAUGUCUCUCCAGCGAGCCACCUGCCACUCCUUCCUGUGCCAUCUCCUGCAAGGAAACCAACCCAAAACGUGCCUGCAGUGACCCCAGCCCCUUAAAUGCACUGUACGGCCCGAUGAUGAAGAGCGGGGUCACAGUUCAUG